UGGGGAAUAUUGGACAAUGGGCGCAAGCCUGAUCCAGCAAUGCCGCGUGUGUGAAGAAGGCCUUCGGGUUGUAAAGCACUUUUGUCAGGAGCGAAACGCUGUCGGCUAAUACCCGGCGGAACUGACGGUACCUGAGGAAUAAGCACCGGCUAACUUCGUGCCAGCAGCCGCGGUAAUACGAAGGGUGCAAGCGUUAAUCGGAAUUACUGGGCGUAAAGCGUGCGUAGGCGGUUUCUUAAGUCUGCUGUGAAAUCCCCGGGCUCAACCUGGGAAUGGCAGUGGAUACUGGGAGGCUAGAGUGUGUCAGAGGGUGGUGGAAUUCCCGGUGUAGCGGUGAAAUGCGUAGAGAUCGGGAGGAACAUCAGUGGCGAAGGCGGCCACCUGGGACAACACUGACGCUGAGGCACGAAAGCGUGGGGAGCAAACAGGAUUAGAUACCCUGGUAGUCCACGCCCUAAAGCGAUGCGAACUGGAUGUUGGUCUCAACUCGGAGAUCAGUGUCGAAGCUAACGCGUUAAGUUCGCCGCCUGGGGAGUACGGU
rnacentral:rRNA from 1 species